AAGCUUUACAAAGAAUAAGUAUUUUAUAGAAGUACUAUAAUCAUAUUAUCCAAUAUCUUCUUAUUAAUCUGAUAAAUCUUAUAUUUUAGCAGAGAUCAUCAUGAUCCAUUUUAGGGAUAACUAACAAUUAUGAAAAACUGUACAAAUUAUUUUCUGUAUGUGUCUUAAAGCUGCAAAUAUUUUUGCAUUCCCUUACAAUUUAUAUACUGUUGUCAUCUAUCCUCAGGCUAGUUUAGAUCAUGAGUAAAAUAUAAACUAAAUCUAACGACAUAUGCACAAAGAUAUGAGGGUUGAUUCUAGUUGUAGCGACUAUAAUCUUACAUCAGACAGUGCCUGGGUCCUUAGCUUUAUUUAUUAUCAAUUUUAUUGAAAGGCAACCUUCAGGAAAGUAAUUCACAUUGAGGUUAAAAUUUGCUGGCCUUAAUGUCUUGGGAAUUCUGAGCAUUGUUAAAUUACUAUUUUAUUUUAAAUAAUCAGUGUCAUUUAAUCUAUUUGUUUAGAAUUUUCCAAAUGGAGUUAAUUUUUCUGGGGAAUCUUUGGAAUUCCCACUAUGGUACGGUGGAUUAAGAAUCCAACUGCAGCAGCUUGGGUUGCUGUGGAGGCAUGGUUUCGAUCCCUGGUCCAGUGCAGUGGGUUAAAGGAUUUUGUGCUGCUUCGGCUACAGCUUGGAUUCAGUUCCUAGCUUGGAAACUUCCAUAUGCCAUGGGUACAGCCAUAAAACAAACAAACAAACAAAAAAGACAAAUAUUAUGGGGAAACUUAUGUUCAUACUUUUUAAAAAAACAGUGGAUUUUCUUGCAUCCAUCUUUAUUUACUGGACUGGUAUUUUACCAUAUCAUUGGGUAAGAAAGAAAAAAAUCCCUUAAGUCAUUAAAACAUGUAUAAGAAAUAUUAAUUCAUAUGUACUUAUGAAGAAUUAAACUGCCAUUUUUUAAAAAGUUUUUGGUUUUUUGCAUUUCUGACAAAAGGAAGGAAAAUACUAUUCACUCUAGGGAUAGCUAAAUUUUAUAUAUAUUCAGAUAUGCUGUAGGCUGUAUCAUAUUCUGUAAAUGAAGAAUACUGUGUAGGAAGUGUGUGAUUUAGCAGGCAAAAAUUCAUUCUUUGCAUCAGCUAAUUUAAGUGGUGUGCGUGUAUGUACAUGUGUGUGUGUUUGUAUGUAUCCAUUUAUCAUACAUCCAUUGCAUGGCUCUUUCAUGCUAAACACAGUAUCUUCUGUUGAGGGGCUUAUUGUUUAGUAAAGGCAGCAGAAAAAUAAACAGGCAAUUUUAUAGGAAUGAGAUUAAAGCUAUAAUGAGGAGAGAUGAAGGGAAAAAAUUAAUAGGUUAAAGGAAUGAAGAUUUGACUGGAGCAAUAUCAGCUGCAUGAAACACUCAAGAAUAAGUAGCCAGGUGAAGGAUGCUAGAGAGAGGGGUUUGAGAAGCGACAGCUUUUAGAAAACCUUUACAAAUAACAUUUUUAAUAAAGACAAACUAAUAGCAGCUUUGUUUAAAGUUAAAAACAUAUUUUGAUGAUACCAGUAAGCUAUUAAUUAUCUCCAGAUUAAUUUAAAUUUAUUGAUGACUUAAAGACAUUUUCCUUUUUUGAUCUCUAUCAUUAAAAUGCCUGAGUAUUUAAGUUCCUUGCCUUGUUUAGCAAUGCAUUUUCAAGGUGUGCAUUGCAUUUUGCUGCUCUGGCAUCAGCACAAUAGCAAGACUGAAUCAAUCUGAAAGUCGUAAUGUUUUUGUUUCUUUCAUCUUGCGGGGUCAAAUAAUAACUAUAUCUAGGAUUCAUUAUAGUUAUAGUUUCAUUAAUGUCAUUUUCAUAUCUAUUAUUCAUUAGAUUUGAAUUAGAUUUGUCAUUGCAGUUGGGUGUUUUAUAUUUUAUCUUCUGUUGCAAGCACUUAAUUUUUUGACUGUUUUUGUUUGUUUCAGACACUUCAAGUCUGCACAUAACUAGAGAUAAUUUAUGAUUUACCAUUCAAACCAGUACACUUUGGAGAAGAAAAAAGGCAGUAUUAAUAACUCAUCUAUGGUUACAGGUGUUCUGUUAGACUGUCUGAGGGUAAAGCUACAUCAUGGUAUUUCCCAACUUUAAGUAAUAGUCUAUAUGAAAUAUUCAAUCCUCACUUUAUAUAUAUGGACUUUAAAUAAACUUUAAAAGAACGUAUGCUUAAAAAAAUAAAAUAAAAGAAUGUAUGCUUAUGCUAUUACAUAAUUAAAUGAUUUCCAACUCUUAUUAAUCAAAGUAGAUUUUGUUUUUAAAUCUAUAAAAAGUGCCCUUAAAACAGAAAGAGAUUUGAAUAAACAUAAUUACUAUAGUUUAUUAAUAUGAAAGUGGUAAAACUAAAUCUUUUGGGGUUUAUUUGGCUUUAAGAGAAUAUGUUUUAUACAUAAAUUAGUAUUUGAAUCUUAGAUUCACAACUGCUUAGCAGUGUGCUCUGGAGAAAAUGCUUAAAGUAUAUGAUGCCAAAUUCUUCAUUUGUAGAAGGACGACAGCAAAGCCUGCCUUGUUGUUAUUAAAUGAAAGAUCAAGAAAUAUAAAACAAUGUACAUGGUGCCUUCCUCAUUAUGGAUGUGCAAUAUAUAUUACUUUAUUUCCUUCCAAUCAUAAAUGUUAAACUGACAGAGGUUUUGGUUUUUUGCUUUUUAGGGCCUCGCCCACGGCAUAUGGAGGUUCCCAGGCUAAGGGUCAAAACGGAGCUAUAGCUGCUGGCCUACGCCACAGCCAUGGCAACACAGGAUCCAAACUGUGUCUGCAACCUACACCACAGCCCACGACAACACCGUAUCAUUAACCCACUGAGCGAGGCCAGGGAUUGAACCUGCAACCGCAUGGUUCCUAGUCGGAUUUGUCUCUGCUGCGCCAUGAUGGGAACUCUGUGACAGAGAUUUUAAGACCAAAAUAUUGAUAAAUUACAUGAGAUAAUUUUGCUUUAUGUUUUUAUGUUAUUUUCAUGUAGAUUUUUAUAGACUUGUAAACAAUAACAUUAUUAUUUGAAAGAUAUACAAAGUGGUUCUUCACUUGUUCUGUUUCACCUUUAUUCUUAUUUUCAUUUAUCAAUUUGUUGGACAACUUUUGCAAAGGUAUUUUUACCCUUUAAUUGCCAGAUGAAUUUCUCCCAUAAUUAAAUAUUACUUGCUUGAAAGUGCAUUGAUUCAUUUGUAGAAACACAAUAAUAAAAUCCCCCUUCUAACUGAAGAAUAUAUGAGAUUAAAAAUCAGGGUUUGCUUUUAAAAAGGAAUCAGAUUUCUUUCAGGAAACAUAUGGUGGAAAAAUCAUAUGAACCCCAAAACCAAUGUAAAUAUUUUAUUUUUCAGUGAUAGUGAUGCUCCAUUUCCAAAAAUAGUUUCUUAAAAAAAUAACCUGCAUUAUACACCUAGUCAGGCUUUGGAGAUGGUCACUAACAACCUUAUUAAUUAUAACUAUAUUCAGUACUUUAUGAAAAGUGAAAAAAAAACUUUUUUAUAAUUCUCUUCCCAAUGUAAAGAGAUAAUGACUUGCCUAUUAUCAAGUUAUUUUAUAUGCCUUUCUGAAAUGAACUUCUUAUUUUCCAAAAUUUAAGUUUUGUACAGCAUGUCUUGGAUGAACAUGCAAAGUCAUAAAAUUUGGCUACUCCAGGAAAGAAUGAUAAUUUAUACAUCAUAGUUUUUAGAUGCAAUUGACAUUAAAAGGAAAUGAUUUAUCAUCAACAUUAUGAUAAUCAGUAUAUGUUUAAAUUAAACCUACUGUUCUUCAGCAUGAAAAUGAAAGCCAGUGUAGUUAAAUUCUGACAUUGGGUAUAUAUUGCUUUUCUUUAUAGUUGUUUUUUUUUUAAAGGUAGGUUUCUGAAGUUUCUAAACCUAAAUGAAAUCUUUUUAAUCUCUUUAUUCUUGGAAGCUAUAGCUAUUUUAUAAUCUUGCAUAACAGUCAUCUAAUCACCCUAUCUUGUUUCUCCCCUUGUUGAGCAGUUCUAAUGUCUUAUUUAUUUGGUGAUGCUGUACAUAGCUGGAUCAUUCACUAAGAAAUUAUGUGCUAUGUUCUCUAAUCUAAAUUAGUUUUCAUAUUCUUGAGCCCAAUAAUAUAACUGAAAUUGUGUUUCCUUUUCUACAGGAACAUCUGUUUGCAGAGCCAGAGAUAGAAUUCCUGAGAAAUAAGAUGGCAGUUCUCCAAUUACUGCUUGUUUUUGAUUGGGGAAAGCUGACAUGAUUUAAGGUAUAUGAUGGACUAAGGAUGUGGAGAUAGUGAGAGACUGAUGACAAUAUUUAUUUGUGAGAAGAAUUAAUCUUCAGAGGAAGAAGCUGAGAGAAUCCACUAUAUGACAUCAGGGUGGAUAGGAUAUCGUAGAUCACAUGAGUACAAAGUUCACAUAAAAGGAAAUAAGCAGAGUUUUAUGAAAGUUUGGGAGAAAUAUUCUAUUCUAGGUUUGGGUGAGGUCAAGAAAGAGUUAAUUCAAACAGUUUUUAAAAUUGGAUAGGAGUCAGUGGGUAAAGAUUAAGAGGCAGAAUAUUCUAGGUAGUGGGAAUAAGGUGAGCAAAAGAGUAAAGGUAAAGAGUGUGGGGCCUGGUUGGCACAAUGGCAAAAUCUUCAGUGUGAGGGAUGGCAGGAUAACACAAGAAUGAGAUUCAUCUUGAACACUUAAUAAUUUUAUUUUUGAACUUGUGUUUGAUUGAAGUCUGAUGGGACAAUGGAGCACAUUCCUUGCCAUUCUAUCCACAAUAGCCUUAGCACUGCCUCACGAGCACAGACUUCCAGUGAACCCACAGUGUGUGAGAGUUCAAGCAAUCUCAAAGCAAGCUUAAGGUAAGAAAGUUAACAAUACCUGACUGAGUAAAUGGGGCACUGAAGGCCCCUAGAGAACACACUUUUCAUCUGAACCAGAAAUUUCUUUGAAUACAGAAAGAAGUCAGUGGCAUUUUAUGAAACAACUAAGAAACGUUGGGGUAUUAUUUUUAUCUGUGGAAUGUCUAGUACCUAACUUAAGUUGAAAGUGAAGUAAAGAAAAAAGGUAUAGAUAGAAUAUGCAUGGAUCAAGAAGUGAAAUGUAAACAUCUCAGGUAAUUUUGCACAGUGUUUCUACUCUUCUGAUAAGAACAAAGUAUAUAUACAAGUACUAGCUAUAAGAUACAAAUCGUGUAAAUUCAGUGAUUCUACAUAUGAGAUAAAUGCUCAUAUAGUUGCAUUUAAAACACAUGACAUUUCACUCUGUAAAGAUGUUCAGCAAAUUUAGAACACUAAGUAGAAAACACAUACACAUACACACACGAUGACAAGUCAAGAAUGAGAUAGU
rnacentral:lncRNA from 1 species